CAAAUUUGUACAAUUGCCGUAACGGCCCAUAAAACUACGACAUGAUUCAAUAUACUUUUUUUUUAUAACAAAAUUAAUCUUCUUUUCUUUGCAGACAUCAUCAAUGUAUAAUAGUAGGUCAUCAAUUGGUUCAGACCGUAAUUUAUAUUCCAAAAAGUGUCUUUUUAAAAAAAUUAAAAAAUUUUUACGUUGUUGUAAAAAAAGAUUAAUACUACGAUAUGCUUUUGGCUCGGCAAUCAUCGAUGUAAAUGAACAAAAGCGAUGCAUGGCUGAGAUUCCUAUGCUUUCGAUAACAUUUCUAAUCCAAACCAUUCCUUCAAAGAGAUCUUCUCUCUCGUCAAUAGUUUCUUUCAACACCUGACCCAGAGACUUCCCGAUGACUUCCGUAACAUAAAAACCCACAGGAGCUGUUCCUCUGUAAGGUUUACUUUUAUCUACGACAUCGAUGUCGUCAUUAUUGUAAAAUAAAUGUUCAUCAAUUACUUGAACAGUAUCUGGAUCUGUGUAAAUUGUAUUUGGUAAUAUUAUCAAUUCC